UAGAGACCCGCAGGAAUGGGCCUUGGCAGCCCAAUCUGCAGCAGAGUUGGCCUCGCGACGGCAAAACCUAAUCUGUAGACGAGAGAAGUAGGGAAGGAUGGCGGUCACUUCAGCAAGCAUCAAUCUAGCCUCCCAUGGCGUCUUCUGUUGGUCAGUCACAGCCUCUACCAACGUGAGGCAAUCCGUUUCGAUGAUCAGGGGAUCGCCAGACUUGCCGAUCCGCAAAAGAUGGCGCAUAGCCGUGUUCAGAGCUUGAAUCUCGACCUGCAAGGUCAAGGAUGCAGUGACUCCACUGCCCCGUCUAUGUUGAUCUUGAGCACACCAGGGUUAGGGGGCCGCCAUAGAGAACCUGGAUCUGAAGGAGUCCGCGUUGAUCCUAUUGCAUUGGAAGAGAGUUGCUGUGCUAAUCGAGAUUAGUUGAAGGCCGCUUCAACUACAAAGGAGGGAUCGAGUCUUUGGCGACUAGAGAUGAACCUGUUUCGUGCUUUCCAUAUUUGCCAGAGAAUUGCAGCAACAACCGCUAUACUUGGGUGUACAUCGGUUUAUGACACGUAGCCAACAAGGGAAACUUGUUGAGCUUGAUCUAGAAAUCGAGUGUACAUUUAAAAGGCGACUGAGAGAACAGAGAAAUCACGUUAAGAAGAUGGCAGACGGUAAUAAUGAAAAUCCAUGUAGACUCUUAAGAGAUUAUGCUGCGCCAACAGUUCAAGGCACCACAUCAAGUAUGAGAAGACCUGCAAUUCAAGCAAACAACUUUGAGAUCAAGC